ensembl:lncRNA
AGGUUGAUGUGGGAACUCCAGCUGUCUUCCUCUUCUGGAGACCGUUUUGUCCUGAGUUGUGUUCCCCUUGUGCACUUGUAGAAGUCAAAGCCAUCUUCUUCCUCCUUCACGUCCAGUAGGAGACACAGCGGGUCUGUCUGCAAAUCCCCAAGAAGGUGGAGGGUCACGUGAUUGGAUACUUUCCAUCAUAGGCUUAUUGCUGGUCCGUCCCAUGGUGUGACCGGGAUGCUGUGCUGGUUAACCAAAGCCCAGCCUCUGGACAUGGUAUCCCCAGCCCACCCCCAACACCAGGCUUCCCCAGGACAGAGGGCCUGCACCCCAGUGAAAUCUGCUACCCCUGAAAAGGAGGAAAAGUCAUCCUCUGCCAGGACUUCUGUUGUGAUUUUUGAAAGUUACCUUUGGCAGAAGCCUAAACAAGAAGCGUUUCUCCUUGGCGAUGUUUUCUGGCAGAUACGGACUAUUAGGGGAAAGGGAAUUUCUCGAUGAACUCUGAAAUGAGAUUAUCCAGCCAUGUCACCUAGAAAGUAGUUCCUGAAUUCAGCCUAGACACACCCUAGAUGCAAGCACCACAUGCUUUACAUCGAACUCAUGUCUGUUAUGCUCCGAGCCCGUAUCUCUGAACCGACCGAGAGAGCAAGUCCACCACAGUAUUGCAAACGCAAGAAGGGAGUUUGUUUAUUCCUAGCGCUCUAGGGCCCAAGUCUCAUCCCACACAAGGGAAUCUGACAAGAGCCCCGAACAAAGGAGUAUGGCGGCUUAUAUACAGGCAGUUCUUUGUCUCAGUUACAGGAGUAGCUGGCGUUACAUGAUUGGCCAGGCAGGAUGAGCGCAUAUCCUGUCUCUUUCUGAUCCCAUGGACUGUAGCCUAGCAGACUCCUCCGUCCAUGAAAUUUUCUGGACAAGAAUACUGGAGUCGGUUGCCAUUUCCUUCUCCAGGGGAUCUUCGCCCCCACCCAGGGAUCGAACCCAGGUCUCCCGAAUUGCAAGCAGACGCUUUAACACAUGAGUUUCCUCUAAAGCCUUUCUUGCUUUAUUUUCUGCCUAUAUGCACCAUUCAGGAGACUUAUUUGUUCUCUGUAAUUUGUAUUAUGCAGUAAAUAUGUUUUUAAUUUCCCAAAUAUAACAUUCGAUUAGACUACUUAAUAUGUUUCACCAAAUUUCUCGUACCUGCCAGCCCUUAUUCUGACAUUCUCUCCAACUCCCACUAAAUACUUCUGAAGAAAGAGUCCUUGGGAAUUAAUUCCCUGGUGACUCAGUGUCUAGGACUCCACACUUCCACUGCAGGGGGCCAGGUUAAAUCCCUUACUGGGGCACUGAGAUCCCAGAAGCCAUGCAGUGUAGGCCAGAAAAAAAAAAAAAAAAAAAAAGAGCUUAACAUGGAAUGACCCAGCAAUGAAUCUCAGAGAACCAAGAGUUAUCUGGUGAAUCUCGACUACCCUGAUUUUUUUUUUAAAUGGACGUAAAACCAAAUUUUAAAGUAGGCAACCCUCAGGUUAGGAAGAGAGACAUGUAUCAAAACGCAAUUUGUCGGUUUUUUAUUUUUUGGUGUGGAGAAUCAUGUUUGCAUUAAACAAUAUGUUACAAAGGGUGCCUCUCCAGUGUCCUAUAUACAUGGGAAUUGACUUAUAAUAAUCAAGGACUCAGGUAGAUUUAAAGCAGGCUAUCCACAAGUUUGGAUGCUAAGGGCAGGGAACUUUAAUGGAAUAUAGGAAAACCCUGUCUACCAACAGCACAACCUUCCAGGUUGUCUGAUUCUAGUCUCUCAUAGUCUUGGAGCUGUUUUCUAUCUCAGUAAGUUGUAGGUGCCUAUGUUAAUUUCUCAGGACUAUUGUAACAAAGUGCUGCCAACUAAGUAGCUUAGAACAGAAAUAGGUUGUUUCAGAGCUCUGGAGGCUAGAAGUCAGCAAUCAAGGUGUCAGCAGGUCCACACUCACUCUGGAGGCCUUGGGAGACCUCUCCCCGACUCUCGCAGCUUCUCACUCCAGCCACCAGCCAAGCUUGGUGAUCCUUGGUUGAUAGACACAUCACUAGUCUCCACUUCACAGAAGUUCUUCCUGGACAUCUGUGUCCAAACUUCUGUUUCUGAGGAUAGAAGUCAAAUUGGAUUCGGGGCUCACCUUCAUCCAGGAGGACCUCAUCUUAACUCGAUGACAUCGAAAAGAUCCUUUUUCCAAAUAAGGGCCCAUUCACAGGUGCAGGGUGGAGGUGAGUUUUUGGUGUAUGC